rnacentral:rRNA from 1 species
UCGAGAAUCUUCGGCAAUGAGCGCAAGCUUGACCGAGCGACGCCGCGUGCGGGAUGAAGGCCUUCGGGUUGUAAACCGCUUUGGUCCGAAAGAAAGGGUAAAACUUGAUCGAUCGGAGAAACAAGGACGGGCUAAGUUCGUGCCAGCAGCCGCGGUAAGACGAACCGUCCAAACGUUAUUCGGAAUCACUGGGCUUAAAGGGCGCGUAGGCGGCCGAGCGGGUCGUGGGUGAAAUCCCCCAGCUUAACUG